rnacentral:rRNA from 1 species
UACGUAGGUGGCAAGCGUUGUCCGGAUUUAUUGGGUUUAAAGGGUGCGUAGGCGGUCUUAUAAGUCAGUGCUGAAAUAUCCCGGCUUAACUGGGAGGGUGGCAUUGAUACUGUGGGGCUAGAGUACAGAUGAGGUAGGCGGAAUUGACGGUGUAGCGGUGAAAUGCUUAGAUAUCGUCAAGAACACCUAUAGCGAAGGCAGCUUACUAGGCUGUAACUGACGCUGAGGCACGAAAGUGUGGGGAUCAAACAGG